rnacentral:rRNA from 1 species
ACGGGUGAGUAAAGCGUAGGAAUCUGCCUAGUAGAUUGGGAUAACCUAGGGAAACUUAGGGUAAUACCGGAUAAGUCUUGAGGGAGAAAGCAGGGGACCGAAAGGCCUUGCGCUAUUAGAUGAGCCUACGUCGGAUUAGCUAGUUGGUGGGGUAAGAGCCUACCAAGGCGAUGAUCCGUAGCUGGUCUGAGAGGGCGACCAGCCACACUGGGACUGAGACACGGCCCAGACUCCUACGGGAGGCAGCAGUGGGGAAUAUUGGACAAUGGGCGAAAGCCUGAUCCAGCAAUGCCGCGUGUGUGAAGAAGGCCUGCGGGUUGUAAAGCACUUUCGGUGGGGAGGAAAGGCUCUAUGUGAAUAGCAUAGAGGGAUGACGUUACCCACAGAAGAAGCACCGGCUAACUCUGUGCCAGCAGCCGCGGUAAUACAGAGGGUGCAAGCGUUAAUCGGAAUUACUGGGCGUAAAGGGUGCGUAGGUGGUUGAAUAAGUUAGGUGUGAAAGCCCCGGGCUUAACCUGGGAAUUGCGCUUAAGACUGUAUAGCUAGAGUACUGUAGAGGGAGGUGGAAUUUCCGGUGUAGCGGUGAAA